GAUGAAGAUCGCAGCGAAAUGCGAUACGUAAUGUGAAUUGCAGAAUUCAGUGAAUCAUCGAGUCUUUGAACGCACAUUGCGCCCCCUGGUAUUCCGGGGGGCAUGCCUGUCCGAGCGUCAUUGCUGCCCUCAAGCACGGCUUGUGUGUUGGGCCUCCGUCCUCCUCCCGGGGGACGGGCCCGAAAGGCAGCGGCGGCACCGCGUCCGGUCCUCGAGCGUAUGGGGCUUCGUCACCCGCUCUUGUAGGCCCGGCCGGCGCUUGCCGACACAUCAAUCUUUUUUCCAGGUUGACCUCGGAUCAGGUAGGGAUACCCGCUGAACUUAAGCAUAUCAAUAAGCGGAGGA
rnacentral:misc_RNA from 1 species